AUAUCAAUAAGCGGAGGAAAAGAAACCAACAGGGAUUACCUCAGUAACGGCGAGUGAAGCGGUAACAGCUCAAAUUUGAAAUCUGGCUCUUUCAGGGUCCGAGUUGUAAUUUGUAGAAGAUGCUUCGGGUGUAGCUCCGGUCUAAGUUCCUUGGAACAGGACGUCAUAGAGGGUGAGAAUCCCGUAUGUGACUGGCUGCUUUCGCCCAUGUGAAGCUCUUUCGACGAGUCGAGUUGUUUGGGAAUGCAGCUCUAAAUGGGAGGUAUAUUUCUUCUAAAGCUAAAUAUUGGCCAGAGACCGAUAGCGCACAAGUAGAGUGAUCGAAAGAUGAAAAGCACUUUGGAAAGAGAGUUAAACAGUACGUGAAAUUGUUGAAAGGGAAGCGCUUGCAACCAGACUUGCACGCCGUCAAUCAUCCUGGGUUCUCCCUGGUGCACUUGGCGGCGUUCAGGCCAGCAUCGGUUUCGGUGGUUGGAUAAAGGCCUUGGGAAUGUGGCUCCUCUCGGGGAGUGUUAUAGCCCUCGGUGCAAUGCAGCCUACUGGGACCGAGGACCGCGCUUCGGCUAGGAUGCUGGCGUAAUGGUUGUAAGCGACCCGUCUUGAAACACGGACCAAGGAGUCUAACAUCUAUGCGAGUGUUUGGGUGUUAAACCCAUACGCGUAAUUAACGUGAACGGAGGUGAGAACCCUUUAGGGUGCAUCAUCGACCGAUCCUGAUGUCUUCGGAUGGAUUUGAGUAAGAGCAUAGCUGUUGGGACCCGAAAGAUGGUGAACUAUGCCUAAAUAGGGUGAAGCCAGAGGAAACUCUGGUGGAGGCUCGCAGCGGUUCUGACGUGCAAAUCGAUCGUCAAAUUUGGGUAUAGGGGCGAAAGACUAAUCGAACCAUCUAGUAGCUGGUUCUGC
rnacentral:rRNA from 1 species